rnacentral:rRNA from 1 species
AAGCCUAGCGAUUGAAAGUUAGUGGCGGACGGGUGAGUAACGCGUGGGUAACCUGCCUUCAGGAUGGGGACAACAGACGGAAACGACUGCUAAUACCGAAUAAGUUCCAAGAGCCGCAUGGCCCAUGGAAGAAAAGGUGGCCUCUACCUGUAAGCUAUCGCCUGAAGAGGGGUUUGCGUCUGAUUAGCUGGUUGGAGGGGUAACGGCCUACCAAGACGACGAUCAGUAGCCGGACUGAGAGGUUGAACGGCCACACUGGAACUGAGACACGGUCCAGACUCC